rnacentral:rRNA from 1 species
GGUCAUUUAGAGGAAGUAAAAGUCGUAACAAGGUUUCCGUAGGUGAACCUGCGGAAGGAUCAUUACCGAAUUGUUGACACGAGUUGUUGCUGGUCCUCAAACGGGGGCAUGUGCACGCUCUGUUUUACACAUCCACUCACACCUGUGCACCCACUGUAGUUCUAUGGCCUGGGGGGCUCCGUCCUCUUGCUGCGGUUCUACAUCUUUACACACACACACUGUAAUAAAGUCUUAUGGAAUGCAUGAUGCGUUUAACGCAAUACAAUACAACUUUCAGCAACGGAUCUCUUGGCUCUCGCAUCGAUGAAGAACGCAGCGAAAUGCGAUAAGUAAUGUGAAUUGCAGAAUUCAGUGAAUCAUCGAAUCUUUGAACGCACCUUGCGCCCUUUGGCUAUUCCAGAGGGCAUGCCUGUUUGAGUAUCAUGAACACCUCAACUCUCAUGGUUCUGCCAUGAUGAGCUUGGACUUUGGAGGUCUUGCUGGCCCCUGUGGUCAGCUCCUCUCAAAUGGAUCAGCUUGCCAGUGUUUGGUGGCAUCACAGGUGUGAUAACUAUCUACGCUUGUGGUUUUCCACCAGGUAACCUUCAGCGAUGGAGGUUCGCUGGAGCUCAUAAACGUCUCUCCUCAGCGAGGACAGCUUCUUGAACGUUUGAUCUCAAAUCAGGUAGGGCUACCCGCUGAACUUAAGCAUA